rnacentral:rRNA from 1 species
CGCAAUGGACGAAAGUCUGACGGAGCGACGCCGCGUGAGCGAAGAAGGUCUUCGGAUCGUAAAGCUCUGUUGUUAGGGAAGAAUAAGUACCGUUCGAAUAGGGCGGUACCUUGACGGUACCUAACGAGAAAGCCACGGCUAACUACGUGCCAGCAG